GUACGGUUAGGGUACAUAAGGUUUUCACAAAAAGUGGGCCUGCCGGCGUAAUAAACUGCAUUCCACUAUCUGCAUUGUCCUUCUGAGUGAGUUUGUUUCCCGGAAGGCGUGGCUACAUUUGGUGCAUUGGCCGGGAAACUCCUCACUUUGAGACAAGUUCCAUUUGGGACGACUCCGAGGCUUUGCGGCUUGAAUCUUCUAGAGGGCGGAAGGUGCCUUGCCCUUCUGGAAGGAUUCUGCGUCUCAACGCUGGGAACUUUCACCUUAGCAGGUAGUGGACAGCAGCAGGGGAACUGAGUGCUCAGGUCAAUGCUGCCUCUCAGCACAGACAAAAACCUCUGGGGAUUCAGCUGAAAGGCACGCUGCCCUUUGAACACCUGGGAGUGGACUUCACUGAAAUGAAACCUCACCAACACUACUGUUACCUGCUGGUCAUGGUAUGUACGUUUUAGGGAUGGGUAGAAGCUUUUCCUACCCGGACUGAAAGAGCAUCAGAAGUAGCCCUGUGCCUGCUUAGGGAAAUAGUUCCCAGAUUUGGAUUUCCUUCCAGCACUGGAUCAGACAAUGGUCCGGAUUUCGUAGCUGAUAUAGUACAAGAAGUAAGCAAAACUUUAAGCAUCAAACGGAAACUGCACACAGAGUUCUGGGGUGGUGGCACGGACCAACCGGACACUUACAGAGGCACUCUCCAAGUGGAUCAUAGAGACUGACUGCUCCUGGGUGGACUUGCUUCCGACGGCGCUGCUCAGACUCAGGAUGACCCCGCAGUCCCAAGGCUGUUCUCCGCACGAAAUUGCUUAAAGUUGCAGGUACUGCCCCUUGGAUCCAUCAUACGAGGGUGAAGUGAACAUACCACACAGACCCAGAAAAUGCUGAGUGGACUGCACAGAGGGACCCCGCUGACCGUCGAGAGACCAAGAUCAUCUAUAAGAAGAAGGAAAGAAGAUCCCGGACGAGCCCCUUGAGGAUGAAGCCACAUGAUCAACUCCUGCUGCUUGGUCUCAUCAACGUGCACAUUCCUACGUGGACUUCCACAAUACCUCCAACUGUUG
ensembl:lncRNA